rnacentral:rRNA from 2 species
UUGAUUGACGUGCUUGCACUGAUUUCAACAUUGGAACGAGUGGCGAACUGGUGAGUAACACGUGGAAAACCUGCCCAGAAGCAGGGGAUAACACUUGGAAACAGGUGCUAAUACCGUAUAACAACAAAAACCGCAUGGUUUUUGUUUGAAAGGUGGCUUCGGCUAUCACUUCUGGAUGGUUCCGCGGCGCAUUAGCUUGUUGGUGGGGUAACGGCUCACCAAGGCGAUGAUGCGUAGCCGACCUGAGAGGGUAAUCGGCCACAUUGGGACUGAGACACGGCCCAGACUCCUACGGGAGGCAGCAGUAGGGAAUCUUCCACAAUGGACGCAAGUCUGAUGGAGCAAUGCCGCGUGAGUGAAGAAGGGUUUCGGCUCGUAAAACUCUGUUGUUGAAGAAGAACGGGUGUCAGAGUAACUGUUGACAUCGUGACGGUAUUCAACCAGAAAGCCACGGCUAACUACGUGCCAGCAGCCGCGGUAAUACGUAGGUGGCAAGCGUUGUCCGGAUUUAUUGGGCGUAAAGCGAGCGCAGGCGGUUUCUUAAGUCUGAUGUGAAAGCCUUCGGCUUAACCGAAGAAGUGCAUCGGAAACUGGGGAACUUGAGUGCAGAAGAGGACAGUGGAACUCCAUGUGUAGCGGUGGAAUGCGUAGAUAUAUGGAAGAACACCAGUGGCG